rnacentral:rRNA from 1 species
AAGAGUCGCGUUGCUUGAGCAUGCAGCGCUAAGCAGGUCGUAAACUCGAUCUAAGGCUAAAUAUCUCCACAGAACCGAUAGCGAACAAGUACCGUGAGGGAAAGUUGAAAAGCACUCUGGAGAGAGAGUCAAAAGACCGUGAAACCGCUCAGAGUAUAAGCCCAUGGCAGCUUGGAAGGCAUAUCGAAAGCGGGGCAUCGGUCUGCCUUCGCGGGUGGUCGGUGUUACCUUGCUUCUGUUGUGGCUCGUCAUGGUAGGGGGGUCAGGUCCACAUCCCGCCGUCGUGUGGGGGGUUCUUGGGUGUGUUGUGGUUUUUCGGUUGGCUUCGGCUGGCCGGAGGGCCCUUCGUGCUCGGUUCCUCUUUUGACACGGACGUUCAGACUCAGAGGCAAGACGCGAUAAACAGCCCACCACGGCACGUUGUGAGGUCACCCACAGGCUCGACUUUCGAUCGUGAACCUUGACGCCGAGCAAGCACAAUGCGUGUCGCAAAUGUUCCUAACCAGGCAACGCUGCCAGGAUCGUGGAACGACACGCGCUCAACAGUCAGGUUCGGGCGGAGACAGAGUUCUGGUAUGAUCCUCUUGCGACGAGCCGGCUUCUGGCCAACAUCCGAUGCUCAGGUCUCCCGCAUGUGCCGCGGGAGAUCGCUUUGACGGUCUGGAUUUUUCACGAGUCCUCUCAGUCGGGCAACGGAUAGAGUGGUGUAAAGUCCAAGCCCAUCGGUCACGUCUCGAAACACGGGCCAAGGAGUAUAGCAUGUGUGCAAGUCUAAGAGUCUCACAAAACUCGAAGGCGAAGUGAAAGCAAGUAAACGGCGGGUGAUCUACGGAAAGAUCCCGUCAGCUAGAGGGGCUCUCGGGCCUCU